rnacentral:rRNA from 1 species
CCACUAUGCUUAGCCCUAAACAUAGACACUCAAUUAACAAGACUGUUCGCCAGAGGACUACUAGCUACUGCUUAAAACUCAAAGGACUUGGCGGUGCUUUACAUCCCUCU